UACGUAGGGGGCAAGCGUUGUCCGGAUUUAUUGGGCGUAAAGAGCGUGUAGGCGGCCAGAUAGGUCUGCUGUGAAAACUCGAGGCUCAACCUCGAGACGUCGGUGGAAACCGUCUGGCUAGAGUCCGGAAGAGGAGAGUGGAAUUCCUGGUGUAGCGGUGAAAUGCGCAGAUAUCAGGAGGAACACCGAUGGCGAAGGCAGGUCUCUGGGCCGGUACUGACGCUGAGACGCGAAAGCGUGGGGAGCGAACAGG
rnacentral:rRNA from 1 species